rnacentral:rRNA from 1 species
GACGAACGCUGGCGGCGUGCUUAACACAUGCAAGUCGAACGGUGAAGCUCCAGCUUGCUGGAGUGGAUCAGUGGCGAACGGGUGAGUAACACGUGAGCAACCUGCCCCUGACUCUGGAAUAAGCGCUGGAAACGGCGUCUAAUACUGGAUACGAGAAGGGUCCGCAUGGGCACUUUCUGGAAAGUUUUUCGGUUGGGGAUGGGCUCGCGGCCUAUCAGCUUGUUGGUGAGGUAAUGGCUCACCAAGGCGACGACGGGUAGCCGGCCUGAGAGGGCGACCGGUGCCAGUGGAAUUGGGAGACGGGCCCGACGAAUACGGGAGGAAGGAGUGGGGCAUAUGGGCAGAGGGGAGGAAGAAGUAUAGAGCCAUGGCGCGUGUGAGAAGACGGGCUUGGGAGAGGAAAGAACAUUAAGUGGGGAAGAAGGACAGUAAGGUAAUACCUUGAUGUUGUGACGGGAACAACAGAAUAAGCAACGGCUGAAUUCGUG